ACAUUGUCAAUGGCCACUCCUUCCUGGCCGUAUUAACGGAAUAGUUUAUACUAAAGAUAAAGGCAGAUCUGUCAAACAUAGUCUAUCUGCAGGAUGGUCCACAUUUCCAUUUGGAUGCUCGAGAUGCCUGAAUGUUGGAUUGGCUAUGCUGGAAACAACAAGUAACCAAAAUUGCAGUGUCCUCCAAAACUACCAGAUCUAAACCCCUGCAACAUCUUUCUGUGGGGCUAAAUCACUCGGUGUAUCCAUAUCCAAGGAUAUGUUGGCAAGAGUCCCCAAUGGACACAAUAUUGAACAUUUGUAGUGGAUAGAUAAAACUUGGAUAGAUAGUGUGUAUUUUUGUUUAAUACAUUUGUGUUAUAUUUUCUCAGUUAAGCAUACUAAGGAAAAAUUUUAGACCAUCCUUUUUGAAUCACCUUGUAUAUAGCAUAAAAAAAAUUUUGGGCUUUUGAUUUAAUAUGCAUACUUCCAGCUGUAAAUGAAAUGCAAUCUUUUUUCUGCAUAAGGCUAUGCAGAAAGAUUGUCGGAUCUGUCGGACAGUGGGGGAGUCAAAUGUGAUGCCACAAAUGCAGCAGGUCUCAGAGGUAAGAUCCAGUAUGAUCAAAACUUUUGACAUAUCUGGGCAAUAUGUCUAAAGGUUUUUUUGGUUUGUUUUGUUUUUUAUGACAGUAAUCCUUUAAUAAACAUGGACCUAUCUGUUGUGAUCAAUGGAGAGUGUACACACAGAAUAUACUACAGACAUGCAAGCUGCCAGCAGUGCCACUGAUAGAUCCCCUCUGUCUAGCCACAGAUUAUACAAUUCUCUGGAGUAUUGAUAGAAGUCUUGACAUGGAUCCACAUCUCUGUCCAGGGAAUCAAGUAUACGUCCAGCUACAGAAACACAGGCCUCUGAGAGACACAGCGAUCGGGACUUGUCUGAAGAUUAGACAGCACAACAAAAUGUUAUAUUAAAUAAAGGGGAUGAGGCAAGACACCACUGUGGCAACUUAUCAGCUGACCAGGUCUGUGACAUCACGUUCCUGAACCGGGAAGAACUGCACAGCAGGGACUGGAGCUCUGUAAUAUUGGCAUGGCACAGGAGUGAAGAACAUGCGUAUAAAAGAUUGCUGCCUGGAUUACUCUUUUAAAAUGAAUCUACCUAGCUGUCUAAAUUGAAAAUAUAGCAUUCUGAAUGGGUUGCAGAAAUAGAAAGUGUUUUAUUUACCCAUGUGAAAAAGGCAACAUUUCAGCCCUAUCACAGAGCCUUUAUCAAGCAACUGGCAAAUACAUAGUAACCAAUUAACGUAUGUGUAGAUAUUAUAAAGUGUUAAGUGUCAAAUAUAAUAUAAGUGUCAAAUAUAAUAUAUUAAAACAGUACAUACUGUAUACAAAAAGAAACAAUAAGUUACAUCAUACCAUACUCAUAGUGUCUGUACAGUAUGUAUUCAAUGUGCAUGAAAAGGCAGUAAACAGAAUCCCCAUUUAACCAAUCCACACAUGCGCCUAAUUUGGCAAUAUAUGUAUACUAUAUGUUUUAAUUUAUUAUAGUUUACUUUUUCUCAUAUUACAUAUGAUCUCGGAUCUGGCACCCAACAUACUAUAAUUUUUAGUGCUACUCUACUGGAAACUGUCUAUCUAUCUAUCUAUCCCUACUUUCUCAAGUGAUUUGUUAGGAAUAUACAGUGUGAAGAACAUUCUUGUUGUCAUUUCCACCUUUUUGGAGCCUCACUUGGCAAACAAGUUAAGUUCUGGCUCUGAAACAAAAUAGUUUCUACAGAAUCAGAUAACAGUAGGGGUGUUGAGCAGCUGUCCCCACUAAACUAUAAAAAAAAACGCAUUAAGAACUAGUUAACAAAUCAAAUUGUACUAGGC